rnacentral:lncRNA from 1 species
GCAAUUGCUCUCCUCUUUAAUGGAGAUUAUAAGCUAUAGAUUAUACCACUGACAAUUGACAGAAACGUUUCCUGCAACAAAGCCAUUCAACACAUUUACAACUACAAUACAAUAUAAUUAACAAAAAAGUAACACCAAAUAAAGGUGAAUUAGAAAAUAUAAGAAACAAACAACCAACCAACAGCUAGGAUGUGAGAAAGGAUUUCAAAACAUUCAACGAAGCAGCAGCAACUUAGGAGCUCCACGAUAGGCCAACAGCAAGAUCAGUGCUUCGGCCCGACUGUGUGCGCGACUCGGCGAUGAAAUUUGAUCGAAAAAUAAGCUACAAAAUCAGGGACAAUAAUUGCGAGCUCUGACCUCGACUGACAACCUUACUCGAAUAGCAACUCCAACAUUUGAAAAUUGGAACCAAAAGAAUAGACUGUUAAUGUGUUAAAUCAAUAUGUUUUUUCUAAAAUUGCUUUCAGAUUAAUAGAACUUUAGUGGCCAUGAUAAACUAAAAAUUGAAUAUUCGUUUGAUGAAAUUUCCAGUAUAUACACAGAUAGAAAUGGAGAAAAUGCUACAACCAAAACUCAAAACAACAAUCAAACUCAAACGUGAUCACAAAUCCCACUGCGGAUGACACCUCGAACUCGAUCGAACUCUAUGUUUGAAAAUUUGAAACAUUAGAAAAAGAAGAAGACACUUCGUUUAUGCUUUCACGAUUUUCUCCUCUCUUUGGUUUUUUACCAUAUUUUCUUCCAUGUGUGUGUGUGUUUCUGAGCAGCAGAGAGGUGCGAAAAGAAGCACAUGGGUUAGCCUAGUGGUUAGGAGCUACUGACGAGGAGGCUGCUCAUUUUCUGAAGGUGUGGACCAGUCAUUUGGACUCAAGAGGAGAUGGGGCCGCUGGUUAGUGUAGAUCUGGAGAGAGUGAGGUGUGAGGAAGAUGAAGUUUCAGGGGUGUCUGUUUGUGUUUAGCGGCUGACUUUUAGAGAAUAACGAAGAGGAUCCAUUGAAUGGGGGAAGGGUUCAGUAAAACCAUAGAAGGCUUCUUGAAGAAGAUGAUCGACCAGGAGCGGGGGUCGUGUAUUUUAUCUCCGCGGCUGAUCGCCUCUUUCAGGUGUUAUUUCUUGUGUCCUCUCUGUACAUAUAGAUCGAGAUUUUCUUAAUUAAGAUAAGGGUAAAGGGGAAUGGGCUUGGGUUGUGGGAGAAUUG